rnacentral:tRNA from 1 species
CGGGGCGUAGCUCAGUCUGGUAGAGUGUCUGCUUUGGGAGCAGAAAGUCGCAUGUUCGAAUCAUGUCGCCCCGACCA